rnacentral:tRNA from 1 species
UUAUCAUUAUUCUAUUAGGAAGAAGUUCUAUUGUUAGUAGAUUAAUGGCAGUACUGUCAUGGUAAG